rnacentral:lncRNA from 1 species
GAUCUGCCCAGACUGGGCAUUUUUCGCCUUCGGGGACCGGUCUCGCCGACCAGGGACCGGUUCCCGAACGGGGGUUUUCCAGGACUUAGCCAAAUUUUUGAGUUUUUCGGCUGUUGCGCAGCGAGGGACCGGUCUGCCCGUCAGGGACCGGUCUCCCGAGGACCGGUCUCAUCACUAGGGACCGGAUGCCUCAGGAUUUCCUGGUAGGCUACGC